UGUUCAUCUCGAGGAACCCAGUCCUCUGCAUGAUCACAAGAUAAAGGAACAAAAGUAUCAGUUCAGAAGAGAGCAAAGUCAAGGGCACAUUCUAGUAGCAGCAGCAGAAAAAGAGAAAUCAGACCUACAGAAGAAACUAUCCAUGAUGACUGAAAAAGUUAUCUCUAAGGUCAUCAAAAAAUGGGAGGGCAGCUCUGGGAGAGGAGGAGAGAGAAUAUCUAGCAGACUCCUCCUGAGCACAGAGCCCAAAGCGGGGCUCCAUCCCAAGACCCCGAGAUCAUGACCUGAUUGGAAAUCAAGAGCUGGAUCCUUAACCAACUGAGCCA
rnacentral:lncRNA from 1 species